rnacentral:rRNA from 1 species
GUGGGGAAUAUUGCACAAUGGGCGCAAGCCUGAUGCAGCGACGCCGCGUGCGGGAUGGAGGCCUUCGGGUUGUAAACCGCUUUUAUAGGGGGGCAAGCUAUGCCUGUGUGGUGUGGUGAGUGGACUUUAUGAAUAAGCACCGGCUAACUACGUGCCAGCAGCCGCGGUAAUACGUAGGGUGCAAGCGUUGUCCGGAUUUAUUGGGCGUAAAGGGCUCGUAGGCGGUUUGUUGCGUCUGGUGUGAAAGCUUACUGCUUAACGGUAGGUUGCGCUGGAUACGGGCAGGCUUGAGUGCAGUAGGGGAGACUGGAAUUCUCGGUGUAACGGUGGAAUGUGUAGAUAUCGGGAAGAACACCUAUGGCGAAGGCAGGUCUCUGGGCUGUUACUGACGCUGAGGAGCGAAAGCGUGGGGAGCGAACAGGAUUAGAAACCCUAGUAGUCC